UGGCUCUGGCAUCGAUGAAGAACGCAGCGAAAUGCGAUAAGUAAUGUGAAUUGCAGAAUUCAGUGAAUCAUCGAAUCUUUGAACGCACAUUGCGCCCCCUGGUAUUCCGGGGGGCAUGCCCGUCCGAGCGUCAUUUCACCACUCAAGCCUCGCUUGGUCUUGGGCGCCGCGGUCCCCGCGCGCCUCGAAAUCUCCGGCCCUGUCGUCUGUUUCCGAGCGUUGCGGACUCACGUUUCCGCUCCGGCCUAACCGACGGUAGCCGGCCGACAGAACCCCUUUAUCAACAGGUUGACCUCGGAUCGGGUGGGGAUACCCGCUGA
rnacentral:misc_RNA from 1 species